UCCAUUCACCCGUAGCCUUGCUCCACCACAAACGGCUCACUCCGCUUCCUCCCCAACUCCACUCGCUUCGAUUCAGAGGCCGGCUUCUGCUUCGCUUCCUCCCCCACUCCACGCGCUUGGAUUCAGAGGCAAGUGACCUCGGCGCCCCUUUCGCUAGCCCAACUGAUUUCGUCCCCUGCUGGAUGCGUCCCCUGAUUCCUUCGUAUAUCCAUCCCCACCCAAAGCAAGCAGCUCGAGUGAAGAAGAAACAAGCCAUCCACCACGAAAUCAGACUGCCAGCGACGAGCGAACCAAAGGAGGGAGGGAGGCGGAUGGCGCAGUGCCCGUGUUUCGGCUGGUCAGCGCAUGCGGCGGAGGCGGAGCGGCGCGAGUCACAGGACGCCCGCGCCAAGGCCGCCGAGGCCGCGUAGCGGAGGACGUGCUCGGGUCGAGGGUUUAUCGGAUUGGGGGAUUUGAUUGGGCCCCCACACUUUGUAUCUCAAACCGAAAGCGGACAGAUUGGGAACGGACUGGGCAGACUGAAAAUUUCACAAUUAAGUAUUAGAGAAGAUAGAUGAUGCAACGUGUUUUCAUGUGCGCAUUAUAGUAGUAGGGAAUGAAUUGAAUACAGCGAACAGAUUUAUGUAUUUGUACUGUGGUAAGUAAUCAUAAUUCCGAGGAAUUGCUAAGCUGUAUGUAAGGUACAUACAUCGCCAUGUACGUACUCGUUCCACAUCAAAUCAAGAUUAAACGGAGCAAGCUAUCGAGGA